rfam:Desulfovibrio vulgaris str. 'Miyazaki F', complete genome.
GAUCGGGAGCCGGACGGCGGCAACGCCGCCAACCCCGUCAGGUCCGAAAGGAAGCAGCGGUAACGGUUGUGGCCGGGUGUCCGGCUCCCUGAAGGCA